UAAGAAUAAGCAGGCUAUAUCAAGAACAACAAACACCAUUCGAAGCAGGCUUGCUGGUUGCUAGUGCAAUCUGCUUUAGGAACAAAGCAGGGACUGCCAGCUCUCGCACAGCCAAGGGGCACAGCACAGGACCACCGAGCAGCAGCCCCGUGACCUGUCAGAAACAAAUCCGGGUAUUCCAGUCCAGAUGAGAGCAUAAUAUGAGUCAAAUAUUGCUCAUUUCGAAAAAGCGCUAUGCUAAGAUCUGUUGUUUGUGGGAUUGCUUGGACUCAGUAAGGCACUCCGAUUUACUUUGGGAUCAAAUCCCCUUCCUGAGGAAAUCAAGCGGCCCUUUGCGAACAGGCAGCAGGAGUUGGUGUGCGAGCGGAGGCUGCGCUGUGAGCUGGGUGCAGGAUCAUGCUCGAAGUUCAAGGCUUCCAGAAGUCCUAAAACCUGCUUUUUGUGGGCAAACAGUUAAAGGUCCGUGGUAGCACGAACAGCUUUGGUGUCCGGGCGCCAAAGGAGACACCUG
rnacentral:lncRNA from 1 species